AUCUGAGGAACGCUGCUGUGUCUCUCCCCCUGUCCCAGUGACAUAAUUGGCUGCCGGAGAAGACGUCUGACUAAAACAACUUUCCUGUACUAAAACCUUCGACAUUUAAUGAAACAGAGAGACUACAAGAGGGAACAAGAGGACUGCAGCUGAAACCUUUGAGGACUAUGGAGGAGUGGAAGCAGCACGAGGGCGAAACGUCUGUGAGAAGGAGCAGGACACGCAGAGAGAAAUAAACUUUUCCAUCCUAGAUGAAGGAGUUACAUGUUUCAAGAAAUAGAACUGUCUUGAUACUUGCUGUGUAGAACUGCUGAGGGGAUAAUGAGGAAAGAUUGGAAUGUGAAAAAAGAGGGAAAUAACCAUCACAAGAGCAUCAACAGCAAAAGUUGAUACUUUCCUUCGUCAUGGUCUGCAGACUCCUUUCACACAUUACCGGAUUUAUUCCUAGAUGUCUCAGUCACAUAACCCAGCAGACACUCAGGGCUUGCUUCAGUCCAUGCUGCAAAGACUGAGGCUCCAGCCAGGAAGAGAUGGCCAGCCCAUCCUUCUCAGUCCUGUAGCUGCUUCCGCAUGGAAGCCAGAUGGAGAGGGACAAGCCUCCAACUCGCAGAAAGUCAAUGGUUCUGAGUUUGGUAGCAAUGGUAUCCCAUUUAAAGAGUUUGGGACCUUUGCCGUGGACAGUAAUUCUGUCAUCAAAGGAGGGGAAAUACGACUGGCAAGAGAUGGCUGUGGAAUGGACAAAGGUCUCAUUUCCUUUCCCUCCCAGAAAGACAAUCCUGAUAAGGACCCGGCUAAGAGCAGGGUGCUAGGAGAGGCCACAUCGCCCCAGAUCACCCCAACAGGAACAGGGCAGUUGUUUCCUGCUAAAUCACUGAAGGGGGCUGAUAUCUCUGUCUUUGAGGAGACUGAUGGGCAAAGGGUGACUUUUGGCAGUUCGGCAAUGACAAGACACAUUACUGGAAAUAAAGAUGCUGUCACAAACUCGGGAAAGAAUCAGAUCCAGGAUCAUGGAAAGGAUCAGCGCUUUACACCCAAAGUCUACAUGUGGUCCUUGAUGCCCACAGAUGCAAAUGAUGACACAGGAACUCAAGAGAAUAAAUUGCUGCACGUGGGAAAUGGAGGAUUUGAAGCUUUGGCACAAAGCAAAGACAUGCAGUUUGUUGCAAGUAGACAAUCAACGACCAACAGCAGCUCGAGAAGAAAACAGCGACCGUCUGAGAAUAAAACAAAGAGAUGGACGCAGAAGAUAAAGGAGAGAUGGAUGGACAGGACAGGCAGUUCUGGCAAAAAGGGAAAAGACGACGGUGGGCGAGUAGACCAGAAGAAUGAGCAAGGAACUGAGAUUUCAUCUCAAAAACAGCUACCUACAGCAGAAAAUCUCAUCAAUACUUCAAAUAAAGGGGAAGAAAGGACCCUUCCCUCAUUAGACAGCAGCGAAACCCCUCCCACACACACAGAGGAAAGCACACUGGAGGAGCGUGUCAGGUCUUCUGGUGACUUUGAGUUUGGCCUCGGCUCAUUCAGCCUCCUGGAAGAGAUUGUCACAGGUCAAGAGUGGGCUAAGUUCCUCAACCCCAAUCGACCAGCCGCUUCAGCCAAUGAGAGAGUACCAGAAGAGCCACCGAGUCAACUCAAAAGCCCUCCAAAUCCUUAUGAUAGCGGAAAGUCAUCUCUGAUUUUGAACCAACAAGGAGCUGGGAACAAUCAAUGGAGCUUCAUGGGCACCGGGUCCUCACCAGUUUCAGAUUUCAAUUGGCUGAUCAAUCAGAACCAAUGGAAGAGUGGCAGCCUGGAGAGAGCGGACAGGGGCAGCAGCGUAGACCUCCGUCCUCUGUACAGGUCAGAUAUCAUUUACAACUCACAGGAACAUUUUCACAGGAAUCAUUUGAUCAAACUUACAUUCUUCCAAUUUAUAAUUUUUUGUUGUGCAAUAUUAGAAAAAGAGAAACCAGAAAAAAUACCCACAACUGAUUUCUGUAACUCUGCCUUUUUGUGUGAGUUUUGCGUUGAUCACCCUGUUGUCUGGUUUCUAAUGCAGCCUGCACAUAUUCUGGAAAACGCCGCGCUGAGGAGAGCCCUCUUCAACAGAAAGAGGCAACACCAGGCAGCUGAGAGAGAUGAGAGGCUGCACAAGGAGACGAUGGCUGAAGGGAAAGAGGCAUGCAGAGGUCAGAACAAUUUAGUACCCUGA
ensembl:lncRNA